GACGAACGCUGGCGGCGUGCUUAACACAUGCAAGUCGAACGAUGAAACCUAGCUUGCUAGGUCGAUUAGUGGCGAACGGGUGAGUAACACGUGACUAACCUGCCCCUUUCUCUGGGAUAACGCUCCGAAAUGAGUGCUAAUACCGGAUACUCACACCGAGGCACAUGCCUUGGUGUGGAAAGUUUUUCGGAAAGGGAUGGAGUCGGGGCCUAUCAGCUUGUUGGUGAGGUAACGGCUCACCAAGGCGACGCAGGGUAGCCGGCCUGAGAGGCCGACCGGCCACACUGGGACUGAGACACGGCCCAGACUCCUACGGGAGGCAGCAGUGGGGAAUAUUGCACAAUGGGCGCAAGCCUGAUGCAGCGACGCCGCGUGAGGGAUGAAGGUCUUCGGAUUGUAAACCUCUUUCAGUAGGGACGAAGCGAAAGUGACGGUACCUAAAGAAGAAGCACCGGCUAACUACGUGCCAGCAGCCGCCGUAA
rnacentral:rRNA from 1 species